UAAACUUAAAUAUUUUUAAAAUAUUAUUUCUCAUAACUAUCUUUUUAUUUUAUAGCAAAAUAGAUAUUUAUUUAUACCUAUCAUUAAGGCAGAAAAUACGUCAAUUAUGUUCUUUCUAUCUCUCUCUCUUCGAGCAAAAAGGAACAAAUCUGGCCAGAAUCAUUAUGUUCUUUCUCUCUCUCUCUUCGAGCAAAAAGGAACAGAUCUGGCUAGAAUCGUCGUCGAGCAAAGAGAAUGAGAGAUCUAUUAUUAAGUUUCUACUCUCCAGAUCCUAAUUUUACUUCUUCAAUACUGCUGUUCAAUGCUGCUGUUCAAUGCUGCUUCUAAUAGUGAAUUCUCUGGCCAAAUCGUCUGGGGUAAUUGCAAUUGAAAUACUUCUGCAGGUUCAGUCAAUCUAUAGUGUGUACACCAACAUAAAUGUUCGAUGAAUAAUAGGGCGGAAGUUCUUAAAACACUGAAUCAACAAUUCCUACAUAACUAUGAGUCAAAAUCGUUGGCGUCAGCAUCCACUAUUGGUUCAUCCUCUUAGGAGAAUAAAUCUGGCCAUGGUUGCACCGGAGAAGAGUUGAGGGCCAGAUUUUUGUUCGUCUCCAUUUUUAAUUCUAAUACAGUGUAUACAAUAUUUUGCUUGGCCGAAAAACGCCAACUUCGUUGAACUUUCUUAUCUUCUUUGCUAUUUGGUCACAUACAAAGAUACUAUACAUUGUAUUCUAUAUAAAUACGCUCAAAUAUAUUGUAUUUUGUAUAAAUAUAUUAUUUUUUUGCCUAUAUUUAUGUAUUUCGAAGGUUUGUAUUUUUUUUUUUAAUACAUAUGUGUUUUGUGAUUUUUGUUGUUGUUUGACUACAGUUGAAUUGAGUACGGUGAAUUGAA
rnacentral:lncRNA from 1 species